AGCAGCCGCGGUAAUUCCAGCUCCAAUAGCGUAUAUUAAAGUUGUUGCAGUUAAAAAGCUCGUAGUUGAACUUCAGGCCUGGCUGGACGGUCCGCCCUCUGGGUGAGCACUGUCUGUGGUCGGGUCCUACCUUCUGGCGAAGCGGCAUGGCCUUAACCGGCCGUGGCGGGGAACCAGGACUUUUACUGUGAAAAAUUAGAGUGUUCAAAGCAGGCACGCGCUUGAAUACAUUAGCAUGGAAUAAUGGAAUAGGACAAUGGUUCUAUUUGUUGGUUUCUAGGACCGUUGUAAUGAUUAAUAGGGAUAGUUGGGGGCAUUAGUAUUCAAUUGUCAGAGGUGAAAUUCUUGGAUUUAUUGAAGACUAACUACUGCGAAAGCAUUUGCCAAGGAUGUUUUCAUUAAUCAAGAACGAAAGUUAGGGGAUCGAAGACGAUCAGAUACCGUCGUAGU
rnacentral:rRNA from 1 species